rnacentral:piRNA from 1 species
UACCAACUCUUUGUAUGUAUUCCUGAUGGA